rnacentral:tRNA from 1 species
AGUAAUGUAGUUUAAUUAAAAACGAUGAGUUGUCAAUUCAUAAAUGCUUUAGUAGAGUUGUUGCUU